rnacentral:rRNA from 1 species
AUGCAGUGCGGCUGCGUCGGCCUCCUGCUGGCUCUGCAUGCUCUUCAGCUUCCUCCGCAGCUCAUCUUCCUCGCCGUGGGCAGAAUCAUUGUUGCUCACCUGCUCAGGUUCCAUGGAAUGGACCUUCUGGAUCUCCACGGUCCUGCUCUGCACAUCGAGCGCCUCCUUGAGCUUCGCAUUGGCCUCAUCGGCCACCUUCUUGGCGCACUCCAGUUCCUCCAGAACCUUGCCCUUCUCUUCUUCCUUCUCCACCAGCUGACCCAUGGCCUUCUUGAGCGCCUCUUGGACGGCAUCAAGCUGCGCCCGCAGCUCCUGGGACGGCUUGGCGGCCUGCGGCUCGGGAGAUGGCUUCCCAGCCUUCCCCUGCUUCUGCAAGCCAAUCAAACGACUAAGAUUCCACUAAAGCUAAAGCAGGAAGCAUGCUUUGUGCAUCACAAGCAGAGGAGGAAUCGUGCGUACCUCUGCAGGAGGAGGGGUGGUGGCGGUGAUCCGGGUUGGGGUGGCGCCCUUGGGCGACUUGCGGUCGGCGGACCUGGGGGACUUGUCGGCCGUGCGCGGCGCGCUCGGCGGCGUGCCAUGGGCGGCAUUCGCCUUGGGGACGGCCGGCUUCCGCGGCCUGUCGCCCUUGGGUGUCGGCGGCGUCUCGCCCCUGGGUGUCGGUGGCGUGCCCUUGCCGUUGCUCCUGGCCUCCGGCUUGGCGCUCGGCUUGCUGCCGACCUUCCCCUCCGGCUUGCCGUCGCCCUUGGCGUCGGCCAGGCCAGAUCUGCUCACCAGAAAAGGCAAAAAACUACCGUCAGAUCAAGAACUCGGCAGCUCCAUCCCCAACCACCAAGAUCCGAGCCAGAUCUAUGCUAUGCUCCAGGAAACCAAGCAAGCAUGCUACCAAGAACCAUCCAGCCCGUGCCGACCCAUCACUCCAAAAUAGAAACAGUGAUAAAAGAAUCGUAG